CACGUAGGGUGCGAGCGUUGUCCGGAAUUAUUGGGCGUAAAGAGCUCGUAGGCGGUGCGUCGCGUCGGCCGUGAAAACCUGCAGCUUAACUGUGGGCUUGCGGUCGAUACGGGCAUCACUGGAGUUCGGCAGGGGAGACUGGAAUUCCUGGUGUAGCGGUGAAAUGCGCAGAUAUCGGGAAGAACACCCGUGGCGAAGGCGGCUCUCUGGGACGGUACUGACGCUGAGACGCGAAAGCGUGGGGAGCGAACAGG
rnacentral:rRNA from 1 species